rnacentral:rRNA from 1 species
UUUAUGACUGAAACGCCUCUAAGUCAGAAUCCUGCCUAGACGCGCGGAUACCGAAGCGCCGCUGUACAUUGGCUGGUCUCUGAUACCCGGCUCCGGCCGGUGCGGAGAGCCGUACGUAACUGGGAGUAGGUGCGGUUGAACACGGGCCGCACCUUACCACGAGCGCACAGCAUGUUUGCCUGGGUGCGGGGCUAAAGGACCUGCAGACGACCUGAUUCUGUGUCGGGGUUUCGUGAGUAGCAGAGCAGCCCCUCGCUGCGAUCUAUUGAAAGUCAA